GCUAGCGCGGGGUGUGGGCGGUGCGGGUGGCACCGGCGCGAGCGCGCGUGGAGGUGGCACUCGGGAGGCAGCGAUCGGGGUUGAAGGCCCUCAAGGGUCCCUCAGGAGUGCGCGACUGGAGCCGGUGGCUCCCGCGCUAUUGCAGCAUAACACUCCAGCAUCCAUUUCCUGGGCAGCUGGUUACGCCACUCCAACAACCCAGAGGACACAAAUCCACGGAGCGGCUGUCAGGCCUCAGACAUCAGGAGGACUCGGACGGCCCCUAUUCACUUUGCUACGUGUGUAAAGGACAAGGAAAGGUUUAGAAAACACAGGACAGAGAUUUGGUUUCCUGUUCCUUCAGCCAGCCGCUCCAGUGUGCUUUUUCCUUGUUGUCUACGUCACUUCAGUGUACAACCCUGUGUAUCUAUUUUCUUGGGUUCUUUUUGUUGUAAGUGACAGAAAGCCAGCUUAAACUGCCUGUCCAUUAAGGACCUCACAAAUACUGCUCACUGCAACUGGUUGUCACAGCUGCCCCUCCGUCUCCCUCCAGUAGAGUACCUACCCAGCCACACAUUGACCCCCUCACUGACCAGGAAACCAACAGGGAGCUGUGCACAGGGGUAGAGGCAGCCCCUCCACGCUUGCCCCAGGUCAACGCCAUAGAACUAGACGUGGAGGCUGGCAGCAAACACUGGAGGUCUGUCUGGAAAAGGGUGUAGAAACUCCCCCAGAAAAGUUCCCAAGGCCUGAACCACUCCCCUUUUCACAACAUCCCAAGGCUGGUUCCUGGGCCUGCCUACCUACAAUCACCCCGUUGACACACUCAUGUGGGUGGCCGGCUCAAACCUGUCCACAUCCCAGGAGGCUGGCCAGCUGCAGCAGGAGCCCACCCGGGGAAGAGGGUGUCAGGACACUUGAGUGACAGCGUCUCUCCAUCCUGCCUGCAGUUCAGGGCUCUGUGACAAAUGGCUAUCAUGACAGGACUUCCUCGGGUGGAAAGGGGACAGGAGAGAGAUGGGACCUGUGUCCCCUUCAGCUCUCUACUGGGGGUGACCGCAGCCUGAGUACAGAUUUCAUCAUGGAAGCUUUUCUGACCCAGGAAACAGCUCCUUUAAUAGUAGGGGGCACCAGUGGUCAGAGAUCAGGUUGCUCAGUGGACACAUUGUAAGCUGGACAAUCACAGAUCAGCAAGUAGAUUAGGAGGCCACUCUUUCCCUGCCUCCUUUUUAUCCAAAGCCCAUUACAAACUCAUCAUACUCCUUUUCCCCUUACAUUGGUGGCUGAGGAGUCUGCUUACUCUUCUAAAAGUUCAGCCAAGCAGCUAGGAAAUAGUGGCCCCUGUGUGAGCUUGCACCCCCUUCUGUCCAUCGAUGUGGAGGAAGCCAUCGUCGUCCGGCUCCUCCUGCAUCUUCCCAGGAAGAACGGUGAGAGGAGUCACCCAGGGUGAUGACUGCCAGCCAGCACACCCUCCCAGACCUUCCAACACACCCCUGCUUUUCUUAUAGGGUGCGGGUGCCGAGGUGGGAGCAGGGCUCGCUAGUCCAAGUUCCGGGGGGGGGGGGGAGCAGGUCUCAAUGAGUGAGCGGCUCUGAGAGAAGUCACUGGAGGCAGAGACAGACCAUUGUCCAUAUGUUCAUAUGUUGCUGGCUUUCCCACUCCGUUCUCCCCGAGUGGAGUUCUGCAGCCACCCCAGCCAUAAACCCAUGUGUCCGCUUCCCUGAGCACCAGCCUCUCUUUCUCCACACAAGCACGCUGAGCACAGGUCCAAGGCUGUGCUCAGGAACAGCCCCUGACCUACAGCACUGCGGGUCAUGGUUCAUGGUGGGCAUCUCUGGAGACGGACUGGGGGUGGGGAGCACCAGUGUGUAUGUCUCCAAGAGCUUAUUUUUAGUUGAGUUAUAUAAGUGGUUUCAUCUCGGCGUCAUGUAGGAAGGGGUGGGGGGGGUCUCAGAUUUAAUUACAGGAUGACAGCCUUGCAUUUCAAGCAAGCUGUUCUCCUGGCAAGACAGGCUCACGGAUGGAUUGGGAGCCUGUGCUCAGCAGAGGCUGCCCUUCGGGAGGUGACGCCCCCCCCCAAGGCAAACUGUCACCCCACCUUCACCUCCAUCCUUAGCCACUUUGCUGAGCUUGCCUUGGCGGGGAGCCACUUGUCUAAGAUCUCAGAGAUGGUGGGAGACCCACCCCACCCCCACCUCCACCUGGCAGCUUUCCUUCUGUCCUAGGGAAGAGUCUCCCAAUCAGAACUCUCCUGUUUCCAUUCCUGGGCUGAAGCUUUUCUAAUGGGUAGCCAGAAAGUUCUAGAGUAGAAGAGACAGAAACGCAGGAGCUCGGGAAAAGCCUCCCUUUUUUCCCUCCACACCCAUGUUGCUCAUGCCGCAUGGCCUGGGACUGGGCCAGGCCUGAGGGCAGAAGUGUUCUUGUAUGUGGGGGGCAUGGCUCUGGUUUCAGGAGAGUCUUAACGGUUGGCCAUUGCGGUGGCUAGAACUUUAGCAGGAAGUCUAUUUCAAUUGCCGACAGCCACUUGAGUUUCAAGGCAUAGCCUGCCACAGUGGAGGGGGAACAGGUUGAGACCUGACCAUGACAGGAUCAGGGUGCAGUGUGAGGAGAGGGCCCAGGUUUAAGGCGCCUGUUCCUUAACCAGUCAGCUUGCAUAGGUGGGACAGACAGGGCUGCAGCUCCUGGGCAGGUCCCUAGUCUCCCGGAGCUCCCAAAGCAGAGAUUAGGGUUCUGUGAAGUGCUGGGAGGAGCCAGGGAACGAAGAGUCAUGUGGGAGUCACCGUGCUUUAGUGCUUUAGCUAUCGGCUGGUACUGCCUAAACAGAGUGCCUGCCCUCUCUCUCCCCAGUUUUCUCUCCCAAGCCCAGCAGGGACAGUACAGUAGACACCCCACCACCACCUAGAGUGCUCUGCAUGCCGCCAUGUCCCCAUCCCGACUGAGGGCAGGGACAGUAGCCCAGAGGAGCCAGAGGAGACAGGAAGACUGAAAGCCCCCUGAAAUCCCUCUGGGUUCCGGACAGAAAGAGGACACUAGGUAGAAUCUGGAGAAUUCUGAGUGAACUGUGGACUUUUAGUUAAUGAUCUGUCAGCACUGGCUCCUGAAUUGUGGUCAAUGUCUCACCAAGGCAACAGGCUAACAGCAGGGGCUGGGGUGGGCCCAGGGGAUGACACCCUCAGACAAA
rnacentral:sRNA from 1 species